rnacentral:rRNA from 1 species
GACGAACGCUGGCGGCGUGCUUAACACAUGCAAGUCGAACGGAAAGGCCCUGCUUUUGUGGGGUGCUCGAGUGGCGAACGGGUGAGUAACACGUGAGUAACCUGCCCUUGACUUUGGGAUAACUUCAGGAAACUGGGGCUAAUACCGGAUAGGAGCUCCUGCUGCAUGGUGGGGGUUGGAAAGUUUCGGCGGUUGGGGAUGGACUCGCGGGUUAUCAGCUUGUUGGUGGGGUAGUGGCUUACCAAGGCUUUGACGGGUAGCCGGCCUGCGAGGGUGACCGGCCACAUUGGGACUGAGAUACGGCCCAGACUCCUACGGGAGGCAGCAGUGGGGAAUAUUGCACAAUGGGCGGAAGCCUGAUGCAGCAACGCCGCGUGCGGGAUGACGGCCUUCGGGUUGUAAACCGCUUUCGCCUGUGACGAAGCGUGAGUGACGGUAAUGGGUAAAGAAGCACCGGCUAACUACGUG